CUCAGACCAAAACCCUACUCUUGUGGAAAAAGAUCCCCUAAAGCCCUGGAGGGAGCUACCAGGAACAUCACUCAGGAUGGAAGUGGCAGUGUGGAGGCCCUAUUUUUCCACCACAAAAUAUCUGGUGGGUCCUGGAUUCAUCAGGCUUGGUGCUCCCAAGUUGUCUUGCUGGCCCUACAAUGCUUUGUGUCAAACCACUUAGUGCCCACCAAUCAAAAAGGCAAGAAUGGCAUCAGGACCUGGACAAACUUUAGGAGGUUUCCUGCACUGACAGAACUUGUUUGGUAAAUGCUUUAUGACUGGGCUUUAUAAUAAAUUCACACAGAAACACUUUCAA